rnacentral:lncRNA from 1 species
UAAUCCAACAGUCAAAUGUGCAUCAUCAAUGGAUAUGAAGAGCAGUUUAAGCGUUAAGUUUAAAGUAAACUCCACAACACUCUCUUCAUGUGAACUCUAGGCAUCCUUGGUAGACUCUUACGUAUGUCAACUGGCCAAACCUGCCAGCUUCAAGUUUAAAGGCCAAGCCAACAAAAGUAUGGCUAUUAUCACGUGCAGAAUGCAACAGGAUCUUCUUUUCCUCACUGAAAUGGAAAGUGCUGUUCCCACAAAAACUGGUGUGAAGGUUUGCUUGAGGCAGGCACGGCGAAUACCAGCAUGAAGCUCUGCCUCUGUUGGUGUCUUUUCCUC